rnacentral:rRNA from 1 species
UCGGGAUUAUUGCGCGAUGGAGGAAACUCUGACGCAGUGACGCCGCGUGCAGGAAGAAGGUUUUCGGUUUGCAACCUGCUUUAGACAGGGAAGAAACAAGACAGUACCUGUAGAAUAAGCUCCGGCUAACUACGUGCCAGCCGCCGCGGUAAUACGUAGGGAGCAUGCGUUAUCCGGAUUUAUUGGGUGUAAAGGGUGCGUAGACGGGAAUGCAAGUUGGUUGUGAUAUCCCGCGGCUCAACCGAGGAAUUGCAACCAAAACUAUAUUACUUGAGUGAUGGAGAGGAAAGUAGAAUUACUAGUGUAGCAGUGAAAUGCGUAGAUAUUAGGAAGAACACCAGUGGCGAAGGAGACUUUCUGGACAGUAACUGACGUUGGGGCACGAAAGUGUGGGGGGCAAACAGG